UACGUAGGGUGCAAGCGUUGUCCGGAUUUAUUGGGCGUAAAGAGCUCGUAGGCGGUUUGUCACGUCGGAUGUGAAAGCUCGGGGCUUAACCCCGAGUCUGCAUUCGAUACGGGCUAACUAGAGUGUGGUAGGGGAGACUGGAACUCCUGGUGUAGCGGUGAAAUGCGCAGAUAUCAGGAAGAACACCGAUGGCGAAGGCAGGUCUCUGGGCCACUACUGACGCUGAGGAGCGAAAGCGUGGGGAGCAAACAGGAUUAGAUACCCUGGUAGUCCACGCCGUAAACGGUGGGCGCUAGGUGUGGGGGACAUUCCACGUCCUCUGUGCCGCAGCUAACGCAUUAAGCGCCCCGCCUGGGGAGUACGGCCGCAAGGCUAAA
rnacentral:rRNA from 1 species